GAACAAUAUAUAAGGCUUCUAGAACCAAGCAUUCAGCACAACACUAUACCAUCGCACAGAAUCAUAAUGCAGAUCUUAGUCGGUAUACUCCUGGUUAUCUGCAGCGCAGUCAGCGCAUCCUAUAAAGGAGGAUAUGGCGGUUACGGAGGUGGAUACGGAGGAUACGGAGGUGGAUUUGGUGGUGGAUUCGGAAGAGGAUACGGAGGUGGAUUCGGAAGAAGAUACGGAGGAUACGGAAUCGGUGGUGGAUACGGAGGAUACGGAAUCGGAGGUGGAUACGGAGGAUACGGAAUCGGUGGUGGAUACGGUGGAUACGGAAUCGGAGGUGGAUACGGUGGUGGAUACGGUGAUGGAUAUUGAAAAGGAAAAGUUGUUGUCGUUAAAGGAUAUGGCGGUUAUGGUGGCGGUUAUGGUGGUUUAGGAGGUGGAUAUGGUGGUUACGAAGGUGGAUUCGGUGGAUUAGGAGGUGGAUUCAGAGGUGGAUUCGGAGGUAUUGGAGGAGGAUAUGGUGGUUACGGUGGUGGAUAUGGAUACGGAAAGGGCAAAGGAUAUUAAACAGACUCCCUUCCAAGAGGACUACAAAGGAUUUUUUUUUACAUUUGUGAUAUAAAAUAUAAUCAUGC